AAGCAAGAAAAGUGUCUGGCUUGGGCAUUUUCGAUCCCGGUCGAAUUUCACUAGGCUCGAACAUGGCCAAAAGGGACGAGGGAGGAUACCGUAGCCCCUCUUAAAUCUCGACGUUUCCCGGCUCCAAUUUAAGACCAUCAACAAAUGCACCAGAUGCCUUUACAUACUCCUGAAGACAAAAAGCUGUUACGUGUACAUCAAAAAGGAUUUGCCUCAAAAUGCACAACUUGCAUCAUUGAAAAUGUUUUCCUACAGAAAUUGCAGAAGGUACCUAGACAUCUUAACAGCACCCAGGUCGCAUCAUCCUGCAAGCUUGAGCAUCCUUGAAGGCCUCCACCCCAUUACCUAAGCAAAGAAAGUGUAGGCAAAGUUGCAUUUUAUGAGGUUCAAGUUCCACUGCCUACAAGCAACAUGCAGAAGAAUCAUUAUCCCAAUUCUGCACAUCGUUCUUAGAUUUGCCAACAAGAAUUUGUUGCACUCAGGGAACCAAUAGAACUAAUUGAAAUUUAAUUAAAUGUAAGCAGUAAACACAAGUCAUCAAUGAUAAUAUAACUUGCGUAAGCAUGUAAAAAGAAAAGUUCUCAGCCAAGUCAUAAUCUGCUACUGGAUGCAGACAAAAAAUAUAGCUCAAACACAUAAAAGCUAACAAUACAGCGGUACAAAAAAAUUUGAAAAGAUCAGUGGAGAUUCGAAAAGAAAAAUUACAGAAGUGGAUACUGUGUGCUCAUUAACGAGUAUCUCGAAUAGUAAACACCCUCGUGAUUCUUCUAUUGGUUCUCCAACAAAUCUUAAAAACAUUCCAGGUAUACACAACCACACUACAUCAUACCCAUUUACAGUUGGACAAAUUAAUAACCCAUUUGCCACUCCAGUUUCCAAUCUAUGGAGGAGUACGAGUUUCCCUUUGGCUUGGAAGGUCACCACAUGAGACAUUCAAGUAUUCAACAUUGAAGCUUCAAAAAAAAAAAAGUAUUCAACAGUGACAGGAGGUACCUUAAUUCACAUGCCUUUGCAUGAUGAGUGCAAGAUAAUCUUAUCAAUUGGAUCCACCAUUGGACAUUACA
rnacentral:lncRNA from 1 species